CGACUUGGAGGUUGUUCCCUUGAGGAGUGGCUUCCGGAGCUAACGCGUUAAGUCGACCGCCUGGGGAGUACGGCCGCAAGGUUAAAACUCAAAUGAAUUGACGGGGGCCCGCACAAGCGGUGGAGCAUGCGGUUUAAUUCGAUGCAACGCGAAGAACCUUACCUACUCUUGACAUCCAGCGAACUUGGCAGAGAUGCCUUGGUGCCUUCGGGAACGCUGAGACAGGUGCUGCAUGGCUGUCGUCAGCUCGUGUUGUGAAAUGUUGGGUUAAGUCCCGCAACGAGCGCAACCCUUAUCCUUUGUUGCCAGCGAGUCAUGUCGGGAACUCAAAGGAGACUGCCGGUGAUAAACCGGAGGAAGGUGGGGAUGGCGUCAAGUCAUCAUGGCCCUUACGAGUAGGGCUACACACGUGCUACAAUGGCGCAUACAAAGAGAAGCGACCUCGCGAGAGCAAGCGGACCUCACAAAGUGCGUCGUAGUCCGGAUCGGAGUCUGCAGCUCGACUCCGUGAAGUCGGAAUCGCUAGUAAUCGUGGAUCAGAAUGCCACGGUGAAUACGUUCCCGGGCCUUGUACACACCGCCCGUCACACCAUGGGAGUGGGUUGCAAAAGAAGUAGGUAGCUUAACCUUCGGGAGGGCGCUUACCACUUUGUGAUUCAUGACUGGGGUGAAGUCGUAACAAGGUAUC
rnacentral:rRNA from 1 species